rnacentral:misc_RNA from 1 species
UCUCCGUAGGUGAACCUGCGGAGGGAUCAUUACUGAGUGAGGGCUUCGGUCCGACCUCCAACCCUUUGUGAACCAAACUUGUUGCUUCGGGGGCGACCCUGCCGCUUCGGCGGUGCGGCGCCCCCGGAGGCCAUUAACCACUGCAUCAUUGCGUCGGAGUUAAAGUAAAUUAAACAUAACUUUCAACAACGGAUCUCUUGGUUCUGUCAUCUAUGUAGAACGCAGC